rnacentral:rRNA from 1 species
CUGUUGCCUAUAUGGCCAGGCGAGACUGCUCCCUCACGGGAGAGGAAGGUGGGGAUGACGCCAGAUCAGCAUGUCCCUCUGAUACCUUGGGCUGCACACAUAAUACAAUGGUCGGUACAACGGGUUGCAAUGCCGUAAGGCGGAGCUAAUCCUUAUAAAACCGACCCCAGUACGGAUUGAGGUCUGCAACCGACCUCAUGAAGCCGGAAUCGCUAGUAAUCCCGGGUCAGCCAAACCGGGGUGAAUACGUUCUCAAGUCUUGUACUCAUUCAGAAAUGUGCUUGGUAGUUAUUCGAUCCAGUCCGUU